rnacentral:lncRNA from 13 species
ACCCAGUCAGAGUUUGAGAUUACAUUGAAAAGUGGGUAUAUUGAAAAGGAUUGCAGAAACACUUCUCUCAGCCAGAGUUUAGUUGCUCACAAAACUGAAUUUCAAAAAAAAAAGAUGAAAAGUGACAGGCAGAGACUCAGAACUAUGACUUCUGAAGAAAGAGAGCUAAUUCCAUAUCCCUUUUUCUAGAUGUGCUGGAAUACACUUGUGUCGGUGACACAUGCUGCCUUGUGCUACCCCAAGUCCAAGGUAGUGGUAAGACAUAACUAAGAAGCAGUUACCAGACACAAGACAGGAUAGGGUUUUUACUGCAUCUUCUGUUGGUGGCUUCUGUACUUAAAUGCAUAAAAUUUACUCUGACCUGUUUACUUUUACAGCCUCUCUUUGCUUCAUUUCCUUUAAUAUGAUGCAUAUUUAGACUAUGGUUUUUUUUUUCAUUUUUUAAAAAUUUUUAUUGUUUAUUGUGUUUUAGGUUUUGGGGUACAUGUGAAGAACAUUCAGGAUUGUUGCAUAAGUACAUACAUGGCAAUGUGCUUUGCUGCCUAUGCUUUUUCUUUAAAUAUAUGAGCAAAUCUAUUGGUGUAAUGUACUCAUUACCCUAAAACCUAUAUUAUAAUGGACCUGAAGACCAUAAGGUGGAAGACCAGAAGAAAGAGAAAAUGCAUACAAUGCAUACAUUUUUAUCUUUAAAACAAUUCACUUUUUGUUGUUGUUGUUGUUAGAUGAAGUCUCACUCUGUCUCCCAGGCUGGAGUGCAGAGCCGCCAUCUGAGCCCACUGCAAUCUCCACCUCCCAGGUUCGAGCAAUUCUCCUGCCUCAGCCUCUUGAGUAGCUGGGAUUACAGGGAUGAAAUCUCAAAAACGUUUUCAUCCCUGAGAGAAAUACAUGGGCUAUCUUCAGCACAGAACACAAACUCUGCCUUCUUUUCUCAAGUCCAGUGAUUCAAGUUUGACACACCACACCGCAGCAGAUUUGCCUUGUCUUUACACGUCUUCUCAGUAGCACCAAAAAAUACAUCCAAAGACAUGUGGGCAAGGUAAGCCUUGUAGCAACCCUUUGAUGACUUUGAAAAAUGCAAAAAUGCUCAUCAAUCAGGAGGAAAG